rnacentral:rRNA from 1 species
GGCAGAGGUCUCAAGCGUUAGGCGGAAUCACUGGGCUUAAAGCGUGUGUAGGCGGAUUCCUAAGUACCUUGUGAAAUCCCCGGGCUUAACCCGGGAACUGCUUGGUAUACUGGGUGUCUUGAGCCAACUAGGGGCGACCGGAACAAACGGUGGAGCGGUGAAAUGCGUAGAUAUCGGGAGGAACACCAGUGGCGAAGGCGGUUGCCUGGGGCUGUGCUGACGCUGAUGCGCGAAAGCGUGGGGAGCGAUCCGG